rnacentral:rRNA from 1 species
CCCUUAGAUGUUCUGGGCUGCACGCGCGCUACACUGAUGCGAUCAACAAGUUUUUCCUAUGUCGAUAGACACGGGUAAUCUUUUGAACUCGCAUCGUGAUGGGGAUAGAUUAUUGUAAUUAUUAAUCUUCAACGAGGAAUUCCUAGCAGGUGCAAAUCAUCAGUUUGCAUCGAUUACGUCCCUGCCCUUUGUACACACCGCCCGUCGCUGCUACCGAUUGGUUGAUCUGGUGAAUUAUUCGGACUGCCGGCUGAAGGGGUUUCCUCAUCUGCCAGCGGAAAGUCUUGUUAACCCUAUCAACUAGAGGAAGCAGAAGUCGUAACA